rnacentral:lncRNA from 1 species
AUGGCGGCCCCUCCGCCGCCCGCACUCACAGCCCCGCACCGCGCGCACGCCGCUCCCCUCCCGGCCUCCCCCCGCAUCCCGCGGCAGGGCCGCCCCCUGGCGUCGUGCAGCCGCAGCGCCCCGCCGGGCCCGGCCGCCCCCCACGCGAGGCGCCGUCCAUCAGCGCUCGCCGUUCCCAAUUCGCGGCGGGCGGCGCCGCCACACCCCGCCCCGCCCGGGACGGAGCCGCCGCGCAGGUGCCGGCUCCUCUCCGGGCUGCAGCGGCCCGAGGGUGAAGGGAAAAAAAGGUGUGAACCCGGAAGUACACCCGCCCCGCCGGCGGCCGCACGGCACCGCGCGCUCCGAGGCGCAACUUUUCCUCCGGCCGCGGCGGAGUCGCCCACCGCCCUCUCCCCGCGCGGGUGCCGCGGCUGCGGGAGGACGAGAGCCGGCGGACACGCAGCUCCGCGAAGGAGAGGUGAAGGAGCUCGCUUACCUCCCGCGCGCCAUGGUGGCCGGGCUGAGCGGGGCUGUCGUACCGCGGAGGGGAGGCGAGCGCCAGGUGUGUCAAAUCAUCCUUUAAACAUGACAUUCACCUGACCUACCCUUUCCCAUGGUCCCACACCAUAGGACCACACGUGUUCAGGACAUCCCCAAGCUGAUUCACACCCUUCUUCUGGCUCGAGGAUUCCAUGCACUGGAUGCAAGGCCCCUUGGCCUGCUGCACAUGACCAGGAGGAUGAGGAGGCCCUGAGCUGAGGAGUAUUGCAUCCUGCAGGACGUGCUGGGAGAUCCCUGGCUGCAGCCCUGUGUCUCUGCAUGGCCCCCGUCCCACAGUCUGCUGCUUCAAGGAGGGAGUAAGCCACAGGAAUGUGUCCAGAUUCAGGAACAGAACAGCAGGUGACAAAGAUGGCAAGGAGUCUGAAAAUUUCAGAAGCUGAAUAUGGACUACAUGAAGUACAGGAGAACAACACCAAAAAAAAGAAUUCUGGAAAGAAAGCAUUUCACAACUGUUGGAAGGCUGAAGUCAGGAUCAUUCCAGGAAUCCUCUCCUUCUAUGGUCUCAUCAUGAGAUGUUAAAAAGUGCACAUACCUUCAAGUAUAUAUCCUCCUGGGUCCCUGGCUAGCUCUUUAGAGCACACUAAUGAGCCACAUCCUGACCUCUGGGAAGUACACUAGUGUAUUGAGGAAAACAAGUCUGCAACAGAAAACUAUAAGUGCACAUGUCUUACUGGCCUUGGAUUUCCUUUCUUUCUGCCUGUAAGUGCAUGUUCUGAAGGCCUGAGGUGAUACAGGAAGCGACACAGAGGAGAAGGAUGAGGGCAGUGGUUGCGGGAAGGCAAGUUUUAAAGGAAAAAUAAAGUGGUUGAGUAGGAAGGUAAAGAAUGUGAU